rnacentral:rRNA from 1 species
AGAGUUUGAUCAUGGCUCAGGACGAACGCUUGCGGCGUGCCUAAGAAAUGCAAGUCGAGCGAGCUCAAGCCUUCGGGCUGAAAGCUAGCGGCGAACGGUCGAGUAACACGUGAGCAACCUGCCCCAAAGCGGGGGAUAGCCCACCGAAAGGUGGAUUAAUACCGCAUGUGGCCGCCCCGGGACAUCCCGGGACGAUUAAAGCAGUAAUGCGCUAUGGGAUGGGCUCGCGGCCUAUCAGCUUGUUGGUGGGGUAAUGGCCUACCAAGGCUACGACGGGUAGCUGGUCUGAGAGGAUGGUCAGCCGGAUUGGGACUGAGAUACGGCCCAGACUCCUACGGGGGGCAGCAAUUAGGAAUCUUGCGCAAUGGGCGAAAGCCUGACGCAGCGACGCCGCGUGACUGACGAAGUCCUUCGGGAUGUAAAAGUCUUUUGCCAGGGAAGAAGAUCUGACGGUACCUGGCGAAUAAGCCCCGGCUAACUACGUGCCAGCAGCCGCGGUAAUACGUAGGGGGCGAGCGUUGUCCGAAGUUACUGGGCGUAAAGCGCGCGUAGGCGGUCGCUUAAGUUGGAUGUGAAAUCCUGGGGCCCAACCCCAGAACUGCAUCCAAAACUGGGCGACUUGAGGACGGGAGAGGGCAGUGGAAUUCCUGGUGUAGCGGUGAAAUGCGUAGAUAUCAGGAGGAACACCCGUGGCGAAGGCGGCUGCCUGGUCCGUAUCUGACGCUGAGGCGCGAAAGCUAGGGGAGCGAACGGGAUUAGAUACCCCGGUAGUCCUAGCCGUAAACGAUGGAUACUAGGUGUAAGUGGUAUCGACCCCACUUGUGCCGCAGCUAACGCAUUAAGUAUCCCGCCUGGGGAGUACGGCCGCAAGGGUUGAAACUCAAGGAAUUGACGGGGGCCCGCACAAGCGGUGGAGCAUGUGGUUUAAUUCGUUACUAACCGAAGAAC